AUGGGGGGCGCGGGGAGAAACGGUCCGGUUUUAGGUUGUUGGGUUUUUUUUAAAUGUCCGCCCCUCACCGCUACUUCUUCAGGUCUGUCGGGUCGGCCGCGUCGCUUGAAAGUAGCGCUAGAAGUGACGGAAGCGCUGUCCCGCGCCGUCACCGCGCGAGCGCCAUCUUGGAUCGAGGCGCGGGGUGCCCGCCGCCAUGCCGCGAGGGCUGAUGGGAGGCGCCUCGGUAACGGGACGGCAGAAAACAACCUUUACCGGGGCGGGGCGGGCCGGGCCCGGGACGCAGGGCAGGGCAGGGCAGCGCCGCGGGUGGCGGCUGGUGGCGGGGCGGCCUCUCCUUGCGGGCCGGGCCGGGGCCGCCGCGGCGCGCCGGGGGCGGGGCGGGAGCGCGGCGCUGAGGGACAGCGCGUGUUUCCCAUCGGGCCUUGCGGCGGCGCGGGCUGCGGGAAUGAGGUAAAGGCGGGAGGGGCGGGGGCGCGCGGCAGGAAGCGCGGCGGGCAGGCGGCGAGCGCAGCGCGGCGGGCCCGGCCCCAUGGCGGACACCAAGGUGAGGGCGGUGGGCGCGCUGGGCGGGGAUGGCGGGCGCGGGCGGAGGAAGCAGCGUGGCCCGGGGUGGCGGAUGGCGGCGGGAGGGUAACGGAAACAGGUGGGGCCCGCCCGGGGGCGGCGGGCCGGAGGAAGGCCCCCAGGGUUUUGCCGGGACGGCCUCCGGGCCGAGGAGCGCAGGCGGGCGGGGGUCCCGUGGCCGGGCGAGGCCCGCGGGCGGGGAGGGCGAGCGAGGGGCCUGGUCGGAGGGCAGGGAGCGGCAGCGCCGCCUCGGCCCUGCGUGGCGCGGCGGGGAUGCCCGUACGGCGGGGCACGCGUGUCCCCGGGGCCUGGCCUCGGCCCAGCCGGGCGCGGGAGGCGGCGGCGCUUCCCCGGCGGGCGGCAGGCAGGCUGGUGCCGCGCCUCAGGCGCCCCUGGGCCGUCUCUCUCCCCGUUUCCCCCUUUCUUCUCUCCCGCCCCUCCCCCGCCCGGCUGAUCGACCCCUUGUGCCUCCCGGCCGGAGGCGCGGCCCCGCGCGCUUUAUAUCGCGGUGGGGCGGGAUCUUAUCGUGAUAACGGGAUCCGCUCGCUCACGUGCGGCUAUUGUGACUAUGCGCUGCUCACGGCUGUUAGCUGGGUUGGCCAGCGCAGGCCGGCCGGUGCGGGACGUGCCGCUCCCCGCCGCGGGAGGCGGCCUGGGGCGGUUCAGCCGGGGUCUCUUCCACAAGAUGGACCUUAA
rnacentral:lncRNA from 1 species